GAUGAACGCUAGCGGCGUGCCUAAUACAUGCAAGUCGAACGAGGGCUUUGUUGUAGCAAUACGGCGAAGUCCGAGUGGCGAACGGGUGAGUAACACGUAGGCGACCUGCCCCGAAGAGGGGGAUAACCCCGGGAAACUGGAGCUAAUACCCCAUACCCUUGUUGGAGUUAGAGGUCUGGCAAGGAAAGGAGCAAUCCGCUUCGGGAGGGGCCUGCGGCCCAUCAGCUUGUUGGUAGGGUCACGGCCUACCAAGGCGGCGACGGGUAGGGGGCCUGAGAGGGUGGUCCCCCACACUGGCACUGAAACACGGGCCAGACACCUACGGGUGGCAGCAGUAGGGAAUAUUGCACAAUGGGCGAAAGCCUGAUGCAGCAACGCCGCGU
rnacentral:rRNA from 1 species